rnacentral:rRNA from 1 species
UACGUAGGGGGCAAGCGUUGUCCGGAAUCACUGGGCGUAAAGCGUGCGUAGGCGGUUUGUUAAGUUCGGGGUGAAAGUCCAAGGCUCAACCUUGGGAAUGCCUUGAAAACUGGCAGACUUGAGUGCUGGAGAGGCAAGGGGAAUUCCACGUGUAGCGGUGAAAUGCGUAGAGAUGUGGAGGAAUACCAGUGGCGAAGGCGCCUUGCUGGACAGUGACUGACGCUGAGGCACGAAAGCGUGGGGAG